rnacentral:rRNA from 1 species
UACAGAGGUCCCGAGCGUUGUUCGGAUUCACUGGGCGUAAAGGGUGCGUAGGCGGCCAACUAAGUCGGAUGUGAAAUCCCCAAGCUUAACUUGGGAACUGCAUCCGAUACUGGAUGGCUUGAAUCCGGGAGAGGGAUGCAGAAUUCCAGGUGUAGCGGUGAAAUGCGUAGAUAUCUGGAGGAAUACCGGUGGCGAAGGCGGCAUCCUGGACCGGCAUUGACGCUGAGGAGCGAAAGCGUGGGGAGCAACAGG